GGUUCUAACUCAAGCCUUAGGCCCCUGGAAUGGCCCGGUGGCUUACCUGUCCAAGAAACUAGACCCAGUGGCUGCUGGCUGGCCACCAUGCCUAAGAAUUAUUGCGGCGACAGCACUCCUAGUCAAGGACGCAGACAAACUGACCCUAGGACAGGAGAUCUGGAUCACGACCCCACACAACGUUGAAGGGGUCCUGAAACAGCCUCCUGAUAGAUGGAUGAGUAACCCACGUAUGAGCUUCCUACUCAACCCUCCACAGGUGCAGUUCCACCCUAGUGCAGCCCUCAAUUCUGCAACCCUGCUGCCCGACCCUGACCUAGGUGCUCCACUACAUGACUGUGCGGGAAUCCUGGAACAUGUACAUGGAUUCCGGACGGACCUGACCAACUGGCCCCUCCCCCAUGCCGAGGCUACUUGGUUCACUGAUGGCAGCAGCUUUGUGCGAGACGGACAGAGUAUUUACAGACACCUUCUCUGGCUGGGUGGAGGCAUACCCAACCAAGCAUGAAACGGCUCAGAUGGUGGCUAAGGAGCUACUAGAAGACAUCUUACCCAGAGGGCUCCAGAGGGCGCACGAGGACAUUUGGCCACACCUCCGUGCCAUCUACAAGGCUGGCCUGACCCCGACACCUCAUCAGUACAGGUCGGGAGACUGGGUCUACGUCAAGAGGCACCACUGAGAGACCCUCGAGCCGCACUGGAAGGGACCCUACAUCGUGGUGCUGACAACCCCCACCGCUCUCAAAGUAGAUGGCAUCGCAACCUGGGUCCAUCACACCCACGUUCGGCCAGCGGACCCCUCCUCGAUCCAGAAGGACUUCGUCAUGCGAUGGGCCGUCAGUGGGGACCAACACAACCCGCUCAAGCUCAAGCUACAGCGCAUUUGACCCACCUAAUAUUGGUAACUCUGUUAACUCUACUUGUCAUUGCUCAUGCUGCUGGGAGUCCCCACGCCCCCCAAAACAUCACCUGGCAGAUCAUAGACACCAGCUCAGGGACAAUACUUAAUCAGACCUCAGAGCCACCCCAGGGACACUUGGUUCCCAGAACUUUGUGUAAACCUCCAAACUCUGUUCCCCUUGUCACCAUAAAUGCAGCCGGUCCCAUGAUUGGGUCUGUAAGCUACAUGACAAGGGGGGAAUGAAAGGGCGGGCCUAUGCCGGCCGACUCCAUCUUGUCCUGUGUCCUUCACCUUGACCACACCUCCUCCCUUUGAGUAACCUCCCACUCACCCUUUCAAACUUCCGGAUCAAAACACGCCCGCCCGGUGACCUGCAUAACAGGACUCUGACCCUUCCCCAGCCAAUUGGCUGAGGUCACAGCCU